CUUGAGGCUUCAUGAUGCUCUAACUAAUCGUGCCAAAGAUCAUUCCCAUUUUCAAGUGGUGAUUGAAUUCUUGCAACAACUUGCUGCCAAGGACAAACAGAAUUCUUGCAUGGAUGACUCAAUUUGCUUGACAGGAGUCGAGGAAGAGAAGGAGGAGGAAGUAGCAAAAUCUGAGCAGGUAGAGGGAGGACAAAUUGAAGCUAUGGAACCGGAUGUUUCUGAAGGUGAGAUUCCCUUGAAGUCUUCUGAUAGUGAGGAUGCCUUGUGCGGAUGGAGUCAAUAUAAAAGUGAAUUAUAAUGUCGAAAGACAAAGAUGCUGACUUUUCUUGUUUCUAUUGAUUAGUCCUUUAUCAAAUUAAUCUGAAAUUUUGUCCUUCGUUUUUAAA